rnacentral:rRNA from 1 species
UGGGGAAUUUUGGACAAUGGGCGAAAGCCUGAUCCAGCAAUGCCGCGUGUGUGAAGAAGGCCUUCGGGUUGUAAAGCACUUUUGUCCGGAAAGAAAUCCUUGGCUCUAAUACAGUCGGGGGGAUGACGGUACCGGAAGAAUAAGCACCGGCUAACUACGUGCCAGCAGCCGCGGUAAUACGUAGGGUGCAAGCGUUAAUCGGAAUUACUGGGCGUAAAGCGUGCGCGGGCGGUUUGCUAAGACCGAUGUGAAAUCCCCGGGCUCAACCUGGGAACUGCAUUGGUGACUGGCAGGCUAGAGUAUGGCAGAGGGGGGUAGAAUUCCACGUGUAGCAGUGAAAUGCGUAGAGAUGUGGAGGAAUACCGAUGGCGAAGGCAGCCCCCUGGGCCAAUACUGACGCUCAUGCACGAAAGCGUGGGGGAGCAAAACAGGAUUAGAUACCCUGGUAGUCCACGCCCUAAAACGAUGUCAACUAGUUGUUGGGGAUUCAUUUCCUUAGUAACGUAGCUAACGCGUGAAGUUGACCGCCUGGGGAGUACGGUCG